UAGCAAAAUCUUCGGCUUUCUCUCCCAACCAACCAACAUGGCGGUCACCAUUUUCUCCCCCCGCCAAUGCAGCCUUCCAGCGCCCCCAAUCACGCCGCCACGGAAACCCUAGCUGCUACUCUUCCGGCGGGGGCACGACUGCGGCCGGCGAAGGAAGACCGGGAGGCGCGGAGGAUGGAUUUCUGGUCGCCUCCCGAGCUUAAGCCUGCUCCAUCCCCUCCCCGCUCUGACCUGCUGCAAACCAUAGCAGCAUCGAGCACGACGGGGCCGGCCCCACUCGCCCCUCGCCGUCGAUUUCCCGGCCGUGGGAGCCGCUGCUCUUCCACGGACACCAAGGCCGCGAGCCAUCUCCGGCACCCCUGUCUCGCCAGCGUUUUCCCUGGGUCGCCCCACACCAUGGGCGCGGCAGUGAGCGCCACGACCUGUAGGACCUCGCCCCUCUGCAGCUCUUCCUCGAUGGACGGCAGCACCGCGUCGGAGCUCGGCGGAUCCUAGUUCUGCAGCUAUUUCCUCCCCGAGCUGCUGCCCGAGGUGGUGCUGCCGGCGUCUCCUCUGUGCUACAGUCGGCGAGCACGUCCACGAGCACCUGCUGCCGACCUCCUCCACGACAAGCUGCUGCCGGUGAUCUUGAAGUCACUUGGUCUCCAUCAUACAACAUUGGCUGCUUCUGGUUGGCUUGCACGCUGGAGCAGUAGUGCGUGCUCACUGGCCGACUUUUGCCACGCUGGCUGACUGCAUCUUCAAGGAAGGUCAGUGGAGCAACUUGUGGCAGAUGUCGCUGCUACCGCUGUCAGCAUGCUACUAUUAGGACCUCUACUGCGAGAAGGAAGUAGGGCCUGACCUGUUGGUGUGUUCUUGUGUGGCGCCCUCACUGCCCAUGUUCACCACCGACGAGUCUGAAACCGGAGAGGGCGCCGCUGUCCUGCUUCUUGGCCGUGGGCGACCUCGAGCAUGAGGUCUCCAGGAUGGACACGCUCGCCGGCAUCACCGUCAAUUUCAGGGUCGAGCCUAUUUGUUUGAUCUGGAGCAGUAGCUGUGCUCACUGACCGACUUUUGCCAUGCUGGCUAGCUACAUCUUGAAAGCGGGAGGAGUGGAUAUGUUGGACAAGUCAGUGGAGAAGUUCCUGGAGCAUUAUGCCCGCCGGUCCAGCAUCUUCUUGUGCUCUAUCACCGCCGUUGUCUUCAAGGUCAAUGAAGCAACUUGUGGCAAAUCUCGCUACUACCGUCAUCAGCUUGCUACUAGUAGGACCUCUACUUUGAGAAGGAAGUAGUGAUCGUCCUGUUGGUUGGUUCUUGUGCGGCGCCCUCGCUGCCCGUGUUCUCCACCGAUGAGUCUGAAACCUGAGACGACGCCGCUGUCCUUCUUCUUUGCCGUGGAUGACCUCGAGCACGAGGUCUCUAGGAUGGACACACUCGCCGACAUCACCAUCAAACCGUGAUGGUGGUGAUGUUCACAUUUGUUUGCAGUUUGAUUACAUUGAGCCAAAACUGAGCUAUAUUGUUAUUUACUUCUCUGCAGAUUCGUAGUUCUAUUUGUUUCGUUUUUGGCUAUCCUUGAUAGGAAAUCAUUGCAUUCUCUAUAUUUUUCCUUGUCUUGCUUGCAUGAGUGUUACAGCAAUUUGCAAAUCUGUUGUUCUAGGUCAGUUUCUAUUUUUAUUUUUUUUAUAUUGGUAGGUCUGUUUAUGAUCUCUAGGACAGUAAUCAUCUAGCUUUUUUUUACGCGCAACAACAGGUAAUCAUCAAGCUUUGUUUCUCUUCCUUUAAUGUAUAUGGGCUUAAGAACUUUAUGAUUUCUCAUAUUUUAGCAAUUGCAUGACCCCGAAUAUGUAUAGUUGAUCAUGAACUUGAUUUCCAAUAAUAGCUGUUUUAGCCAUCGAGUCAAUGCCCUGUGUAGGGCCAUUGAGCCAUCACGUCAGACUUUUAGAAAUUUUUGGUGCUUUACUGGUACUGGAAUUUGUGGUUGCAGGUGUAGUUGUUCUUGUCAACGUUAAACAUACUAGUCGAAUUGGAUUGUAUGUUUGAAGGUCUAGAGGCAUGCCGUUUGUAUUUUACUGUCAUUUGUAUUGUGGUCUUGAUGUCCAGAGAAGGGCAAAGAUCAUGGCAGAAUUUUGAACACUUGCUAAUUAAACUUGCAGUGAUUUAGUAAGUUUAAUUCUUAGUGGCUUUGAAUUGAUAGUAUUUGGCUGUUGCUGGUGAUGAAGUAGUGCCACUGCAAUUUAUUUUGCCAAGGUGACAGUUGACAUCAACUGCAAUCUAUUCGCGAAUAUUCAACAUCACAUUUUCGCCACUAGCUGCUCCUCUGACGAUUUCUUAAUAUUUAAUUAGCAUGCCCGUGAACAUGUGUUUCCUGACACUAAUUAAAAGCGUGCAAAUUCUAUUUGCAGGACUGAGAAGCGGAGCCGGAGGUGACCUUCUUCCUCUAUAUACGACUAGGUAUGUUUAGGUGAGUAUCACUGCUGUGAUAUAUAGUGGCAUGUAGAGCUAUGGCUAAAGUGUGAUCCGGCUAUCGAGGAGGUGACGAUGCUGGUUUAGGUUCAGUUUUGGUAGUUGUGUAACCAGGACGUGGUCCUGGCACUAAGUGCUGUUCUAACCGAUUCUUUGGUUGAUGUUUUUAUUAUGAAUUUUUCCUAUUUCAGUUGUAUGUGUAUUUUUGGGCUUUGACCAAGUUGCUGUGAUGUGCAAUGUUGCAACAUAGCAAUUCUAUUGUGGUCCUGAAUAGCAUAAGUUCUGAGAAUAUCCAGGAGCAUUUGGGGUCUCCAUUA